rnacentral:rRNA from 1 species
AAAGGAAUUGACGGGGGCCCGCACAAGCAGUGGAUUAUGUGGUUUAAUUCGAAGCAACGCGAAGAACCUUACCAGGUCUUGACAUCCUGAGGACCUUGCAGAGAUGCGAGGGUGCCUUUCGGGGAACUCAGAGACAGGUGGUGCAUGGUUGUCGUCAGCUCGUGUCGUGAGAUGUUGGGUUAAGUCCCGCAACGAGCGCAACCCUUGCCAUUAGUUGCUACGCAAGAGCACUCUAAUGGGACUGCCGUUGACAAAACGGAGGAAGGUGGGGACGACGUCAAAUCAUCAUGCCCCUUAUGACCUGGGCUACACACGUAAUACAAUGGCCGUUAACAGAGGGAAGCAAUGCCGCAAGGCGGAGCAAAACCCUAAAAACGGUCUCAGUUCGGAUUGCAGGCUGCAACCCGCCUGUAUGAAGUUGGAAUUGCUAGUAAUCGCGGAUCAGCAUGCCGCGGUGAAUACGUUCCCGGGCCUUGUACACACCGCCCGU